rnacentral:rRNA from 1 species
UACGUAGGUGGCGAGCGUUGUCCGGAUUUAUUGGGUUUAAAGGGUGCGUAGGCGGUCCUAUAAGUCAGUGGUGAAAUAUCGCAGCUUAACUGUGAGGGUGCCAUUGAUACUGUAGGACUUGAGUGAAUUUGAGGUAGGCGGAAUUGACGGUGUAGCGGUGAAAUGCUUAGAUAUCGUCAAGAACACCGAUAGUGAAGACAGCUUACCAAGCUUCAACUGACGCUGAGGCACGAAAGUGUGGGGAUCAAAC